CGGCGCACGGGAGCGUAACGCGUAUGCAAUCUGCCUAGUACAAAGGGAUAGCCCAGAGAAAUUUGGAUUAAUACCUUAUAGUAUAUAGAGAGGACAUCCUUUUUAUAUUAAAGAUUUAUCGGUACAAGAUGAGCAUGCGUCCCAUUAGCUAGUUGGUAUGGUAACGGCAUACCAAGGCAAUGAUGGGUAGGGGUCCUGAGAGGGAGAUCCCCCACACUGGUACUGAGACACGGACCAGACUCCUACGGGAGGCAGCAGUGAGGAAUAUUGGUCAAUGGGCGCAAGCCUGAACCAGCCAUGCCGCGUGCAGGAUGAAGCAUCUAUGGUGUGUAAACUGCUUUUGUACGAGAAGAAACACUCCUACGUGUAGGAGCUUGACGGUAUCGUAAGAAUAAGGACCGGCUAACUCCGUGCCAGCAGCCGCGGUAAUACGGAGGGUCCAAGCGUUAUCCGGAAUCAUUGGGUUUAAAGGGUCCGUAGGCGGUUUAGUAAGUCAGUGGUGAAAGCCCAUCGCUCAACGGUGGAACGGCCAUUGAUACUGCUAGACUUGAAUUAUUGGGAAGUAACUAGAAUAUGUAGUGUAGCGGUGAAAUGCUUAGAGAUUACAUGGAAUACCAAUUGCGAAGGCAGGUUACUACCAAUAUAUUGACGCUGAUGGACGAAAGCGUGNGGAGCGAACAGGAUUAGAUACCCUGGUAGUCCACGCCGUANACGAUGGAUACUAGCUGUUCGGAGCAAUCUGAGUGGCUAAGCGAAAGUGAUAAGUAUCCCACCUGGGGAGUACGUUUCGCAGAAAUGAACUCAAAGGAAUUGACGGGGGCCCGC
rnacentral:rRNA from 1 species